AAGGAAGUAAUAGAAAACAGUAAGCACUGCUAAUCCUUACACCCCGUGGUUAAAAUCCACGGCUUCCUUG
ensembl:Mt_tRNA